rnacentral:rRNA from 1 species
UAGGGAAUCUUCGGCAAUGGGGGGAACCCUGACCGAGCAACGCCGCGUGAGUGAAGAAGGUUUUCGGAUCGUAAAGCUCUGUUGUUAAGGAAGAACGAGUGUGAGAAUGGAAAGUUCAUACUGUGACGGUACUUAACCAGAAAGGGACGGCUAACUACGUGCCAGCAGCCGCGGUAAUACGUAGGUCCCGAGCGUUGUCCGGAUUUAUUGGGCGUAAAGCGAGCGCAGGCGGUUAGAUAAGUCUGAAGUUAAAGGCAGUGGCUCAACCAUUGUAGGCUUUGGAAACUGUUUAACUUGAGUGCAGAAGGGGAGAGUGGAAUUCCAUGUGUAGCGGUGAAAUGCGUAGAUAUAUGGAGGAACACCGGUGGCGGAAGCGGCUCUCUGGUCUGUAACUGACGCUGAGGCUCGAAAGCGUGGGUAGCAAACAGG